AUUUAGCCCCGAUAAAAGUAAAAUACUCUUUGCCGCGGCCUGGCCCAAAAGAUUGGAAAUUAUAGCAGGAAGAACU
rnacentral:sRNA from 1 species